rnacentral:tRNA from 1 species
AUAUUUUAAAAUAAGUAAUAUUUCCUUGACAUCUUCAAUAUCAUGCUCUAAUAAGCUAUU